UACGUAGUGGGCUAGCGUUGUCCGGAAUCAUUGGGCGUAAAGAGCGUGUAGGCGGUCCGGUAAGUCCGCUGUGAAAGUCGGGGGCUCAACCCUCGAAUGCCGGUGGAUACUGUCGGGCUAGAGUGCGGAAGAGGCGAGUGGAAUUCCUGGUGUAGCGGUGAAAUGCGCAGAUAUCAGGAGGAACACCUAUUGCGAAGGCAGCUCGCUGGGACGUAACUGACGCUGAGACGCGAAAGCGUGGGGAGCAAACAGG
rnacentral:rRNA from 1 species